AACGAACGCUGGCGGCAUGCCUAACACAUGCAAGUCGAACGAGACCUUCGGGUCUAGUGGCGCACGGGUGCGUAACGCGUGGGAAUCUGCCCUUGGGUUCGGAAUAACAGUUAGAAAUGACUGCUAAUACCGGAUGAUGACUUCGGUCCAAAGAUUUAUCGCCCAAGGAUGAGCCCGCGUAGGAUUAGCUAGUUGGUAGGGUAAAGGCCUACCAAGGCGACGAUCCUUAGCUGGUCUGAGAGGAUGAUCAGCCACACUGGGACUGAGACACGGCCCAGACUCCUACGGGAGGCAGCAGUGGGGAAUAUUGGACAAUGGGCGAAAGCCUGAUCCAGCAAUGCCGCGUGAGUGAUGAAGGCCCUAGGGUUGUAAAGCUCUUUUACCCGGGAUGAUAAUGACAGUACCGGGAGAAUGAGCCCCGGCUAACUCCGUGCCAGCCGCCGCGGUAAUAC
rnacentral:rRNA from 1 species